rnacentral:rRNA from 1 species
GUAACAUGUUUCCGUAGGUGNACUUGCGGAAGGAUCAUUAUCGAUUCUCCUGAGGGGUGAUUGGAGCUGUGCUGGCUAACCACUGGGUAGCAUGUGCACGCUUCGUCGCCUUUCUUCCACACACCUGUGCACCCACUGUAGGUCUCGAGAGAGACCUAUGUUUUCAUCACACCCCAACGUAUGUUUAUAGAAUGUAACCUUUAUCAAUCAUCUGCUGCUUCGCAAGGAGCGGACGGUGACUAUAUUAUAACUUUCAGCAACGGAUCUCUUGGCUCUCGCAUCGAUGAAGAACGCAGCGAAUUGCGAUAUGUAAUGUGAAUUGCAGAUUUUCAGUGAAUCAUCGAAUCUUUGAACGCACCUUGCGCUCCUUGGUAUUCCGAGGAGCAUGCCUGUUUGAGUGUCAUUAAAUUCUCAACCCCUUCGAUUAGCUUCGAAGUGGGCUUGGACUGUGGGGGCUUGCUGGUGACCACUGGGUUGUCGGCUCCCCUGAAAUGCAUCUGCGGUUAGCGACGCGCAUGAAUGGCUUUUUCGGUGUGAUAAUGAUCACCGUUUGGCUACAACUGCAACAAAGUCCUUUCUGCCUCUAGCUCUGUACACGCUAGUCGUGACAACUCCCUGAAACUUUGACCUCAAAUUCAGGUAGGAUUACCCGCUGAACUUAAGCAUAUCAAUAAGCGGAGGAAAAGAAACUAACAAGGAUUCCCCUAGUAACUGCGAGUGAAGCGGGAAAAGCUCAAAUUUUGAAUCUGGUGGUCCUUGUGGCCGUCCGAGUUGUAAUCUAGAGAAGUGCUUUCCGCGCUGGACCGUGUACAAGUCUCCUGGAAGGGAGCGUCAUAGAGGGUGAGAAUCCCGUCUCUGACACGGACUACCAGGGCUUCUGUGAUGCGCUCUCGACGAGUCGAGUUGUUUGGGAAUGCAGCUCAAAUUGGGUGGUAAAUUCCAUCUAAAGCUAAAUACAGGCGAGAGACCGAUAGCGAACAAGUACCGUGAGGGAAAGAUGAAAAGAACUUUGGAAAGAGAGUUAAACAGUACGUGAAAUUGCUGAAAGGGAAACGCUUGAAGUCAGUCGCGUUGGUCGGGGAUCAGCCUUGCUCUUUUGCUAGGUGCACUUCCUGGUCGACGGGUCAGCAUCAGUUUCGAUCGCCGGAUAAAGGCCGAGUUGAAUGUGGCGCUCUUCGGAGCGUGUUAUAGCUCUCGGUCGGAUACGGUGGUUGGGACUGAGGAACUCAGCACGGCCCCUCGAGGGUUUGGGGCUUCGGCUCACAUUUCGUGCUUAGGAUGCUGGCAUAAUGGCUUUAAGCGACCCGUCUUGAAACACGGACCAAGGAGUCUAACAUGCCCGCGAGUGUUUGGGUGUUUAAAACCCGAGCGCGCAAUGAAAGUGAAAGUUGAGACCUCUGUCGUGGAGGGCAUCGACGCCCGGACCUGAGCUUCUGCGACGGAUCUGCGGUAGAGCGUGUAUGUUGGGACCCGAAAGAUGGUGAACUAUGCCUGAAUAGGGUGAAGCCAGAGGAAACUCUGGUGGAGGCUCGUAGCGAUUCUGACGUGCAAAUCGAUCGUCGWAUUUGGGUAUAGGGGCGAAAGACUAAUCGAACCAUCUAGUAGCUGGUUCCUGCCGAAGUUUCCCUCAGGAUAGCAGAAACUCAUGUCAGAUUUAUGUGGUAAAGCGAAUGAUUAGAGGCCUUGGGGUUGAAACAACCUUAACCUAUUCUCAAACUUUAAAUAUGUAAGAACAAGCCGUCUCUUGGUUGGACCGCUUGGCGAUAGAGAGUUUCUAGUGGGCCAUUUUUGGUAAGCAGAACUGGCGAUGCGGGAUGAACCGAACGGGAGGUGAAGGUGCCGGAAUACACGCUCAUCAGACACCACAAAAGGUGUUAGUUCAUCUAGACAGCANGACAGUGGGCAUGGAAAGUCGGAAUCCGCUAAGGAGUGUGUAACAACUCCCCUGCCGCAAUGACUUGCCCCUGNNAAAUGGAAUGGCGCCCCAAGCGUGGU